UACGUAGGGGGCAAGCGUUGUCCGGAAUCAUUGGGCGUAAAGAGCGUGUAGGCGGCCAGAUAAGUCCGCUAUGGAAAUCUCGAGGCUCAACUUCGAGCUGUCGGUGGAAACUGUCUGGCUAGAGUCCGGAAGAGGAGAAUGGAAUUCCUGGUGUAGCGGUGAAAUGCGCAGAUAUCAGGAGGAACACCGGUGGCGAAGGCGGGUCUCUGGGCCGAUACUGACGCUGAGGAGCGAAAGCGCGGGGAGCGAACGGG
rnacentral:rRNA from 1 species